UGCCAGACUCCUACGGGAGGCAGCAGUGGGGAAUAUUGGACAAUGGGGGGAACCCUGAUGCAGCGACGCCGCGUGGGUGAAGGAGUCUUUCGGUAUGUAAAGCCCUAUCAGCAGGGAAGAACAAUGACGGUACCUGACUAAGAAGCACCGGCUAAAUACGUGCCAGCAGCCGCGGUAAUACGGAGGGUGCGAGCGUUAUCCGGAUUUACUGGGUGUAAAGGGAGCGUAGACGGUUCUGCAAGUCUGAAGUGAAAGCCCGUGGCUUAACCGCGGAACGGCUUUGGAAACUGUGGAACUGGAGUGCUGGAGAGGCAAGCGGAAUUCCUAGUGUAGCGGUGAAAUGCGUAGAUAUUAGGAGGAACACCAGUGGCGAAGGCGGCUUGCUGGACAGUAACUGACGUUGAGGCUCGAAAGCGUGGGGAGCAAACAGGAUUAGAUACCCCAGUAC
rnacentral:rRNA from 1 species